GGAGGAGUGGCUGAGUGGUUAAAGGCACCUGACUUGAAAUCAGACGUGGGCGCAAGUCCACCGGGGGUUCGAAUCCCUCCUCCUCCGCCA
rnacentral:tRNA from 1 species